UUUUAGAAAUUAAUUUAAAGUCUAACCUGCCCACUGAAUAAUUUUAAAUGGCCGCAGUAUCCUAACUGUGCAAAGGUAGCAUAAUCAUUAGUCUUUUAAUUGAAGGCUGGAAUGAAUGGUUGGAUGAAAUAUUAACUGUUUCAUAAAAAUUUAUAAUAGAAUUUUAUUUUUUAGUCAAAAAGCUAAAAUAUUAUUAAAAGACGAGAAGACCCUAUAAAUCUUUAUAUUUAAAUAAUUUUAAUUAUUUAGAUAAAUUAAAUUAUAAUUAUUUUAAAUAUUUUAUUGGGGUGAUAUUAAAAUUUAAUAAACUUUUAAUUUAUUAUAAACAUAAAUUAAUGAAUUGUUGAUCCAUUUAUUAUGAUUAAAAAAUUAAGUUACUUUAGGGAUAACAGCGUAAUUUUUUUAGAGAGUUCAUAUUGAUAAAAA
rnacentral:rRNA from 1 species